UUCAUUCAAAAGCAAACAGGUGCGGAUACUUUUGUCCGCUUAAAAGGGAAGUUUGGUGAAAAUCCAACGCGGUCCCGCCACUGUGAAUGGGAGCAACCUGAAAAUGCCACUGUGUCUACGGGAAGGUUCAGGGAGCGAUGACCAUGAGCCAGGAGACCUGCCUGUUUGAACACGCCUAA
rnacentral:ncRNA from 1 species